rnacentral:rRNA from 1 species
UACAUGGGGUGCAAACGUUGCUCGGAAUCAUUGGGCGUAAAGGGCGCGUAGGCGGUCAGCACAAGUCAGUUGUGAAAUCUCCGGGCUUAACUCGGAAAGGUCAACUGAUACUGUGCGACUAGAGUGCGGAAGGGGCAACUGGAAUUCUCGGUGUAGCGGUGAAAUGCGUAGAUAUCGAGAGGAACACCUGCGGCGAAGGCGGGUUGCUGGGCCGACACUGACGCUGAUGCGCGAAAGCCAGGGGAGCGAACGGG